ACCUUGGUAGCUCAUUCAGUAGAGCAUAUGACUCUUAAUCUCAAAGUUGUGGGUUCAAGCCCCAUGUUGGGCA